GCAAGGUCUGUGAGGGAGCCAUGCUAAGAAAUGAAUCACAGGAAGUUCAAAAGCCGACUUCUUCCGUACAAGAAUCUGCUCCCUGCACUGGUAACUCUGCCAGGAGGCACGUCUGAGCCCUGCAUGUGCUGCCAUCACUGGUGCAGUUCCUUCUCUGUGAGCUCCCUGCUUCAGUGCAUUAGCAUUUCUUUCCACAGACUAGGGAGACAGGUUUCUUCACAUUCUGUAUCUGCAUGAGAACAGCCUUCAGGAAGAACGCCGAGACACCACAGCCUUCAUAUGUAACAGCUUUGGUGUGGGAACUGUGAUCAAGUGCUCUCUAAGGUUCUGGCUGACUUCCCGGUUUUCUGAUGUUUGCAGUUCUUGGGAUGUCCUUGCACAGAAGUGGAGGUCUGUGUCCAUGUACUGGUGGCUGGGAUGGCUGCCCAGCAGGGAGACGUCCUGCUGGCUCCCAGGCUGCCUUAGGGCAGAAGCUGCUGCUUCUGAUCAUCUCUGAGACGUUGGAGCCAGCAGUUUCCUGGACAGAGAUGUCUUCUCAGCACAAUUUAAGGAGUCUCAGAGGCUGCACCAUCCUUGGGCCGGCUGAAUGUGACUUCUCCUCCCCAUCCACUUCAUCUUGCACCAGUACCUGCUUGUGAGAACCCUGGGAGCCAACCACUGUGCUCACAUUGGAUCAUAAUGGACCACAAGGUAGGAUGUCCUCCUGGAUAAAGCACUAGAUUAAGGCUCAGGAGUCAAUGUCUUCAUCCUGUCCACCCCAUACCUCAUUUUAUCUGAUCAUUAAUUCAAAAUGACACAGAAAACCACUGUCAAUGUAUUGGGAAAGAC
rnacentral:lncRNA from 14 species